CCUACGGGUGGCAGCAGUGGGGAAUAUUGGGCAAUGGGCGCAAGCCUGACCCAGCAACGCCGCGUGAAGGAAGAAGGCUUUCGGGUUGUAAACUUCUUUUGACAGGGAAGAGUAGAAGACGGUACCUGUCGAAUAAGCCACGGCUAACUACGUGCCAGCAGCCGCGGUAAUACGUAGGUGGCAAGCGUUGUCCGGAUUUACUGGGUGUAAAGGGCGUGUAGCCGGGUUGACAAGGCAGAUGUGAAAUCCUGGGGCUUAACCGCAGAACUGCUUUUGAAACUGUUGAUCUUGAGUCCAGGAGAGGCAGGCGGAAUGCCUAGUGUAGCGGUGAAAUGCGUAGAUAUAAGGAGGAACACCAGUGGCGAAGGCGGUUUGCUGGACUGCAACUGACGGUGAGGCGCGAAAGCGUGGGGAGCAAACAGGAUUAGAUACCCUUGUAGUC
rnacentral:rRNA from 1 species